rnacentral:rRNA from 1 species
UACGUAGGUGACAAGCGUUGUCCGGAUUUACUGGGCGUAAAGAGCGCGCAGGCGGUCGAUCAAGUCGAGUGUGAAAGCCCCCGGCUCAACUGGGGAGGGUCAUUCGAUACUGUUUGGCUUGAGACCGGAAGAGGUUAGUGGAACUGCGAGUGUAGAGGUGAAAUUCGUAGAUAUUCGCAAGAACACCAGUGGCGAAGGCGGCUGACUGGUCCGGUUCUGACGCUGAGGCGCGAAAGCGUGGGGAGCAAACAGG